AAAGGCCAGUGUUGGAGAAGCCUGAGUGGGUAGGAACUGCCGGUGAUGUCUAGGGCCUGAGGGCAGCCUCCAGCAGACUCCAGUGAAAAGCCGAAAGUCUUCAGGCAUACUACCUGAAGACAAUGAAUCCUGCCAAGUCCCUGAAGGAACUUGAGAGCAGAUUCUUCUCCAGUUAAUCCUCCAGAUGAUGGUGAAACCUGAGAAACCCCUUGAAACUCUGAGCAGGUGACCCAGACCAGCCGCACCCAGAUUCUGACCCCUGGAAAUGCUCAACUGCAAAUGGAUUUUUCUCAUCAAGUAAUACAAAAAUAUUAAAUUCUGGUUGUUUUAGUCAGAAAGAAGAAUAUUUCUUAUUGUGAUGGUAAGCUUAAUAUAUUACAAAUUUAGUAUCCCUAAGCCAAGAAAAAAGAAAUAGUCUAAGCAAUUACUUGUCAUUGUCAGACUAUUACAAUUCUAUCUUUUCCUGGAAUAAUAACAGAGACAUUAAAGAUUAUUAAACUUUCUGACAAAUAUAAGAUAACACAGAUCAACUUAAUUCAGGAAAUUUCAAUCAUAAAAUAUCACAAACAGAAAUGAAAAAGUGUAAUAAAAUUGUUAACAAAGUUUAAAGUAAAAGUUUUAAAAUAAAAAUAAUCAAUAAAA
ensembl:lncRNA novel transcript